rnacentral:rRNA from 1 species
GAUGAACGCUGGCGGCGUGCUUAACACAUGCAAGUCGAACGGGAAUUAUUUUAUUGAAACUUCGGUCGAUUUAAUUUAAUUCUAGUGGCGGACGGGUGAGUAACGCGUGGGUAACCUGCCUUAUACAGGGGGAUAACAGUCAGAAAUGGCUGCUAAUACCGCAUAAGCGCACAGAGCUGCAUGGCUCAGUGUGAAAAACUCCGGUGGUAUAAGAUGGACCCGCGUUGGAUUAGCUGGUUGGUGGGGUAACGGCCCACCAAGGCGACGAUCCAUAGCCGGCCUGAGAGGGUGAACGGACACAUUGGGACUGAGACACGGCCCAGACUCCUACGGGAGGCAGCAGUGGGGAAUAUUGCACAAUGGGGGAAACCCUGAUGCAGCGACGCCGCGUGAAGGAAGAAGUAUCUCGGUAUGUAAACUUCUAUCAGCAGGGAAGAUAGUGACGGUACCUGACUAAGAAGCCCCGGCUAACUACGUG